rnacentral:lncRNA from 1 species
CCUGAGAUGGGGCUGAGGCGGGGCACAGGUGGGCUGGGUGGGGCUUAGAAGAGAUCCGCGCAGGGGGCGGGGCGGGACUGGGGCGGAGCUCAGGUGGGCCGGGUGGACCUGGAAGGGGUUGGGGCGGGGCUGGGGCGAUCCCGUCUGAGGCGCCCGGACUGUUAACCCAGCCGAGUAAUGGUGGCCGCUGGAGCGCCGGCGGUGGUGGAUCAGGAGCCACCGCGGGGAGGAUCGGCAGUACCGGACAUCGGAGCCGCAGCCGGGGUGGCCCCGGGGCUUGGGGCAGCCCGCGGGGUGCCGGGGGGGACGCAGGAUGCGCUCCGAGGACGCGGUCGGGGGCUGUACCCGGCGCCUCCGGGCAGAGGACACAGGCCCUUGUCCGGGGUCUCGGGGUUCCGGUCAAGUGCAGAAAAAGGAAGAACGCCGCCUACGCUGAGUUGAAGGGGCUGUGGAUCCGGGCUCCGAGCGCGCCGGGCCCUGGGCUUCAACUCCACCGCGGGCGCCCAGCGUCUCCUCUUGCUGCCCCUUCAGUCCAGGAUGGGCUGAGUCUUGGAAGCCAAGAGCACGUGAAUCCUGAUUUUGUCCCCACCACUGACAUGCCUAGCAAAAAAAUCACAUUUCCAGCAGAGAGUACGGCGGCAUGA